rnacentral:tRNA from 1 species
GGGCUCAUAGCUCAACCUGGUUCAGAGCGUCCGACUCUUAAUCGGAAGGUUAGGGGUUCAAAUCCCCUUGGGCCCA